rnacentral:RNase_P_RNA from 1 species
GAAGCACGCCAGACCGUCGCUGGUGCAAAGCUCGAAAGAGCGCACUGGAGGAACGUCCGGACUGCACAGGGCAGCGUAGCAGGUAACACCUGCCCACCGCGAGGUGAGGAUCAGAGCAACAGAGACGAGCCGGUUCGGUCCGGGUGAAACGGGCAAUCUCUACGCGCAGCAAUACCAAGUAGGCCAGCGUCGAUGUGGCUCCGCGGAGCUGGCGGGUCGGUAGCAUCGAGCCGGGCGGGCGACCCCCGGCCCAGAGUAAUGAUGGUCACGCGGUCGUCUUCGCAAGAAGGCGGCGGCGCACAGAAUCCGGCGUACCGGCGGGCUUCACAA